UUGUCAGCAUCGUGCGGCGAGCACCCAGUGAAGUGAGAUGGAGAUGGUGGAGCAUGUUGGAUGGCUGAAGGGAAUGAUCCAGUAGAUAGCAACCGAUGACGCAAGAGACAGAGGGGUGAUGGCAGAGUCCUGGAGGGAACUGUUGUUCUUGUCGAGGGAAGAACCCCCAGUCUCACAGGGGAAGGCGAGAAGGCACAAGGGUGAUGGAUCGACUUGCGACGCCCCCUAGUUGCUGGAGCCUCUGACUGAUCCCGGAUCCCCCCACCCCGGUGCCCCUGCAUUCCGGCUGCACCUGAAGGUACUGAUACUGCUCGGGGGUAAGAUAUAGUACAGGGCGCCCUCCGUGCGCAUGGGUCCUUGGGCACACAGACAAGUAUAGAAGUGGGAACAGUUUCUAGAAGUGGGAUUUCUGGACCAAAGGCUUCUGUGAUUUUGACAGACACUGCUGGGUUGUCUUUCAUAAAGGUUGUGUUGAUUUACUCAAAAACCUUGGGAAGAGAGAGAACCUGUCCCUCACACCUUUGAAAAUGGUGUUACCAGGCUGUUCAGUCGUAGCCAACCUCAUAGAAGAAGAAGAGAAUCUCACUGAAGUUUUGAUAUCUCUUAUUCUAAGAGUUCACAUAAUUUCCCCAGUUGUUGAUAUUUCCUUUCCUUAAACUGUCACUCACAUUCUGGGGGCGCCUGGGUGGCUCAGUC